rnacentral:rRNA from 1 species
UACGGAGGAUCCGAGCGUUAUCCGGAUUUAUUGGGUUUAAAGGGUGCGUAGGCGGCCUUGUAAGUCAGGAGUGAAAGACGGUAGCUCAACUAUCGCAGUGCCUUUGAUACUGCAGGGCUUGAAUGUACUUGAGGUAGGCGGAAUGUGACAAGUAGCGGUGAAAUGCAUAGAUAUGUCACAGAACACCAAUUGCGAAGGCAGCUUACUAAAGUAUGAUUGACGCUGAGGCACGAAAGCGUGGGGAUCAAACAGG